CAAGGAUUCCCCUAGUAACUGCGAGUGAAGCGGGAAAAGCUCAAAUUUAAAAUCUGGCGGUCUUUGGCCGUCCGAGUUGUAAUCUAGAGAAGUAAUGCCCGUGCUGGACCGUGUAUAAGUCUCCUGGGAUGGGGCGUCAUAGAGGGUGAGAAUCCCGUCUUUGACACGGACUACCAGUGCAUUGUGGUAUGCUCUCAAAGAGUCGAGUUGUUUGGGAAUGCAGCUCAAAAUGGGUGGUAAAUUCCAUCUAAAGCUAAAUAUUGGCGAGAGACCGAUAGCGAACAAGUACCGUGAGGGAAAGAUGAAAAGAACUUUGGAAAGAGAGUUAAACAGUACGUGAAAUUGCUGAAAGGGAAACGCUUGAAGUCAGUCGCGUUGGCCGGGAAUCAGCCUUGCUUUUGCAUGGUGUACUUUCUGGUUGACGGGUCAGCAUCAAUUUUGACUGCUGGAAAAGGGCCUGGGGAAUGUGGCAGCUUCGGCUGUGUUAUAGCCCCUGGUCACAUACAGUGGUUGGGAUUGAGGAACUCAGCACGCCGCAAGGCCGGGUUUCGACCACGUUCGUGCUUAGGAUGCUGGCAUAAUGGCUUUAAGCGACCCGUCUUGAAACACGGACCAAGGAGUCUAACAUGCCUGCGAGUAUUUGGGUGGAAAACCCGAAUGCGCAAUGAAAGUGAAAGUUGAGAUCCCUGUCGUGGGGAGCAUCGACGCCCGGACCAGAACUUUUGGGACGGAUCCGCGGUGGAGCAUGUAUGUUGGGACCCGAAAGAUGGUGAACUAUGCCUGAAUAGGGUGAAGCCAGAGGAAACUCUGGUGGAGGCUCGUAGCGAUUCUGACGUGCAAAUCGAUCGUCAAAUUUGGGUAUAGGGGCGAAAGACUAAUCGAACCAUCUAGUAGCUGGUUCCUGCCGAAGUUUCCCUCAGGAUAGCAGAAACUCAUAUCAGAUUUAUGUGGUAAAGCGAAUGAUUAGAGGCCUUGGGGUUGAAACAACCUUAACCUAUUCUCAAACUUUAAAUAUGUAAGAACGAGCCGUUUCUUGAUUGAACCGCUCGGCGAUUGAGAGUUUCUAGUGGGCCAUUUU
rnacentral:rRNA from 1 species